UCCAAAAGUUGCUGGGUUUGGCUGGGCAGGCGGACCCAAUGCUAUUGGGUUCAGCAGGACCCAACACUUCUUUCCUUCUCUUCUAUCACCAGCACCCUUUGAAA
rnacentral:pre_miRNA from 13 species